AUGACGUGCUCCUGUGUGCAGACUUUCGAAAACACUCGAUUCUGGGACGUGCAGGUACCGGUACCUACCGAGGAACGCAGAAACAAGUGGGCACUCCCAACCCCGAGCUGGCUCAGUUCCAGCGGGAGGUUGGUCACGCCCCCUGACUCCCCGCUGCUGCGACAGCCGAAGGCGAGACCGGAGCAGGCGGGCGGCAGGCGGCGGAAGCUCGGCCGCGCUCCUCCCCCGGGAUUGGUCCUAAGAAGAGCCCGCUGAAUCUCUUCACCAUUUCCAAGCAGUGUACAGUAAAAACGGCGACUAAGCAAGGUGCCUCACAUGUAAGUAAGUGCUCAAGAAACGGAUGUUGACUAGAUGCUACCGCUCAUCGUUGCCUAUCGGAACUCUCAAGCACUGGAUGCGAGUAGGCUGAAGCUCCGCGGGCAAGGAAGAUGACUUCAGUCAAAGAAUUCUGCGCUAGAAUUACUUUUGUUCAGGUCUUCAACUCCAGAACGCAGCAGUUCAUACAUGCCAUCUCUGUUGCAGAGUUUUCUUUCAAAGCCUUUCUUGGAAGCCUUUUGUCAAAUACCUUCUCCUGAAGCAAUAGGAAAAGAAUAGCAUAAUUCACAGACUUUCAUUUGAAAGGAAGGAAUGAUUAUAUAAAGGUCUUUGUCCGUUUCAGACUCUCAAUAGUAAGGAGAGAAACAGUCAACUAGCAGUUCACUCGUUAGUGUUUCUUCUGUUUUUGCCAUGGGAGGAAUUUGGAGAACAUUCAUUCAACAAUUUUUUAUUGAUUGUAUACCGCGUACCUAGUUCUGGGCCAAGUUUUGACAAUUCAAGAGUGGACAAGUUAACACUGGAGAUGUUUGUCUUCAAGGAGCUUACAGCCUAGUGAGAAACAAAGACACUAACCUGGGUCUUUGAGCAUAUAUCUGGAAUAUUCACAUUCCUUGUAUAACAAGUAUUCUUUAAUCCUUGGACAUUGGGAAUCUCAUCUGUUGAACAAAAUUAGCUCAAACCUGUAAUCUCUGUUCUGUACUGGAAGCAGAAAAUAUUAGCAAGGCAUCCUGACAAGUGUCCCAUAAGUGCUGGCCUAAGUAGUUAAUGAGCAGAUUCAGUAUUGAGCAGGUCACCUUGACUACAUUAUUUUUCUAGCCCACGCCCUUAUUUGUGCAUACAGAAAACAUUUCUAUUAUAAGAAAUACAACGCUUUCUUACAGCGUUGGUCUGCUAGACCACCAAGUCAAGGACCACUUCUCACGUGUAUAUCGAGCAGUCUACUCACUUCACUUUUGUCUUUGUAUAUCCAGCAGCCUAGCAACGUCUCUCUAGUAAUUAGAAAAAAAGUAUUCAAUAAAUAUUUCUUAAAC
rnacentral:lncRNA from 13 species